GCGCGUAAAUUACCCACUCCUAAUUCAGGGAGGUAGUGACAAGAAAUAACAACUCGGGCCCCACUUGGGGUUGCGAGAUUGCAAUGAGAACAAUUUAAACCACUUAUCGAGUAACAAUUGGAGGGCAAGUCUGGUGC
rnacentral:rRNA from 1 species